rnacentral:rRNA from 1 species
AUUGAACGCUGGCGGCAGGCCUAACACAUGCAAGUCGAGCGGAUGAAGGGAGCUUGCUCCUGGAUUCAGCGGCGGACGGGUGAGUAAUGCCUAGGAAUCUGCCUGGUAGUGGGGGAUAACGUCCGGAAACGGGCGCUAAUACCGCAUACGUCCUGAGGGCGAAAGGGGGGGAUCUUCGGACCUCACGCUAUCAGAUGAGCCUAGGUCGGAUUAGCUAGUUGGUGGGGUAAAGGCCUACCAAGGCGACGAUCCGUAACUGGUCUGAGAGGAUGAUCAGUCACACUGGAACUGAGACACGGUCCAGACUCCUACGGGAGGCAGCAGUGGGGAAUAUUGGACAAUGGGCGAAAGCCUGAUCCAGCCAUGCCGCGUGUGUGAAGAAGGUCUUCGGAUUGUAAAGCCCUUUAAGUUGGGAGGAAGGGCAGUAAGUUAAUACCUUGCUGUUUUGACGGUACCAACAGAAUAAGCACCGGCUAACUUCGUG